UUAGAGUUUGAUCCUGGCUCAGAACGAACGCUGGCGGCGCGUCUUAAACAUGCAAGUCGUACGGGAACCCUGGUGCUUGCAUUGGGGGGAGAGUGGCGAACGGGUGAGUAACACGUGGAUAAUCUGCCUCUGGGUUUGGGAUAACUACUCGAAAGGGUAGCUAAUACCGGAUAAGAUGGUAGGUACACAGGUACCAGUCAUUAAAGGUGGGGACCGCAAGGCCUACCGCCUGGAGAUGAGUCCGCGGCUGAUUAGCUUGUUGGCGGGGUAACGGCCCACCAAGGCGACGAUCAGUAGCCGGCCUGAGAGGGUGAACGGCCACACUGGGACUGAGAUACGGCCCAGACUCCUACGGGAGGCAGCAGUUAAGAAUUUUGCGCAAUGGGCGCAAGCCUGACGCAGCGACGCCGCGUGGACGAUGAAGGUCUUCGGAUUGUAAAGUCCAUUAAGCAGGGAAGAAUAAGCAGCGGGUAAUAUUCGUUGCGAUGACGGUACCUGCCUAAAGCCUCGGCUAACUACGUGCCAGCAGCCGCGGUAAGACGUAUGAGGCAAGCGUUGUUCGGAAUUAUUGGGCGUAAAGGGCGCGUAGGCGGCCGCCUAAGUCAGACGUGAAAUCCCUCGGCUCAACCGGGGAACUGCGUCUGAUACUGGGUGGCUUGAAUCCGGGAGAGGGAUGUGGAAUUCCAGGUGUAGCGGUGAAAUGCGUAGAUAUCUGGAGGAACACCGGUGGCGAAGGCGGCAUCCUGGACCGGCAUUGACGCUGAGGCGCGAAAGUUAAGGGAGCAAACGGGAUUAGAUACCCCGGUAGUCUUAACUGUAAACGAUGGUCACUAGGUGUAGGAGGUAUCGACCCCUUCUGUGCCGAAGCUAACGCGAUAAGUGACCCGCCUGGGGAGUACGGCCGCAAGGCUAAAACUCAAAAGAAUUGACGGGGGCCCGCACAAGCGGUGGAGCAUGUGGUUUAAUUCGAUGCUACGCGAAGAACCUUACCUGGGCUUGAAAUGCUAAGAGUAUCUCUGUGGAAACACGGGGGGACCGUUGAACCGGUGCUUAGCACAGGUGCUGCAUGGCUGUCGUCAGCUCGUGUCGUGAGAUGUUGGGUUAAGUCCCGCAACGAGCGCAACCCCUAUUGCUAGUUGCCCUAAUUUAUUAGGGAUCUCUAGCGAGACUGCCUGUGAUAAACAGGAGGAAGGUGGGGAUGAGGUCAAGUCAGCAUGGCCCUUAUGUCCAGGGCUACACACGUGCUACAAUGGUACCUACAAAGGGCAGCAAAACCGCAAGGUCAAGCAAAUCCCAUAAAAGGUGCCUCAAUUCGGAUUGCAGUCUGCAACUCGACUGCAUGAAGCUGGAAUCGCUAGUAACCGCAGGUGAGGUACACAGCGGUGAAUACGUUCUCGGGCCUUGUACACACCGCCCGUCACACCAUGAGAGUCAGAAACACCCAAAGUCGCUGUUCCAACCUUCGGGAGGAAGGUGCCUAAGGUGGUGCUGAUGAUUGGGGUGAAGUCGUAACAAGGUAACC
rnacentral:rRNA from 1 species